UCGUACUCCUUAACAGACUGUGGAGAGAGGUAGAAAAGCACUCUCUUACUCAACUUCCAAAACUAAUGAAGGAAAAUUCAGGUUAAAAAAAUGAAAAACACUUCAGUCAGUUUAUGGUUACCAGUGUAUGAGGUUUUCCCAGGUUACCCCAAAUCCUCUUUCUGGAGCUUGCUGUACAUGUUUUCUUGUUCUCUCCGAUCAUUGUUUGGAUAGAGAAGCUGAAGACCGAAGCAGAAAUUUCCAGUGCCUGGUGAUUUUCUUUUCACUGGAAGUGAAUGGCAACAGGUGGCCACAACUGCACAGUUGUGUCCUUACAAGUGAGUCACGUGCUUGAAAGAAGCAAGAAAACUUCUCAAGACACCUGUGAUUUAAAAAAAGAAAAGAAAGCCCAUUGAUAAGGACAGGCAGGAGAAAGAUGGCUAAGGAUCCAUCCCACAGAGUACUCCCCAGCUCCUGUGCUUGCAGAGUUUUCUUGACUGCACCAAAAACACUGCUAAAGCUUGUGAAGGGUUAGAGCAGCCAGAAGGACCCAGCUCAUUGGGUCUGAAGGGUGCAGAACUCACCAGGAACUUCCAUCACCUCAAUGGAAUGGCCCCAGUUACACAAGUUACAAACAGCUCUGCCAUUCUCCAGGCAGUGAGAACAGAUCCCCUUUUGAUCCACAUAAAAGCUGGAUAACAAAAUAUCUCAUAACACAUUUCUGAAAAGAGUCCUAGUGUGAGACUGCACAGAGAAUCUUUUAUACUCUCUUCACUUGGAGCAACCCCAUUACAGUAUCUGGCCCUUUUUCUGGAUAUGGCUCUGAAUGACUUGCUUUGAGCCAUUCAAAACAUUUGUGGUAGACCUAGGUGUUGAAAGUAGCUCUCGCAAGGGCUGAUCCAGAGCUUAUUUAAGUCAACAGAAGUCUUUCCAAUUGAUUUCAAUUAACUUCUGAGCAGGUUCUGAAUCUCAGGGCACUGCCCUUGCUGUGGCAGCAUGCUUUUUAUACUGCUCAUUUUAUACACCUAUCAUAUUUCUCCCAACAAUUCUUUCCAAAUUAAAUUGCCUUAGGGUGCAAGGGAACAUUUCAGAGAGAUGAGGGACUGUAGGCUAUCUUAUUCUCAUUGAAAUCAAUGUGACUCGGAUACCUAUCUGCAAUAUGUGCCAUUUAAAAUUUUCCACUUAAUCAGGCCAGACCUUUCCACAAUGCCUUUCCCCAUUUUUAUUUCUAUUUUUUUUCCUGUGAAUCACU